GCAUUAAUGGGGUAGUGGUAACCUGGGUCGUUGCCAUUUGUUGUUUCGACCCGCCGGGGGUUCGAUUCCCUCUUAAUGCA